UACGUAGGGUGCAAGCGUUGCCCGGAAUUAUUGGGCGUAAAGAGCUCGUAGGCGGUCUGUCACGUCGGCUGUGAAAACUCGGGGCUCAACCCCGAGCCUGCAGUCGAUACGGGCAGACUAGAGUCCGGCAGGGGAGACUGGAAUUCCUGGUGUAGCGGUGAAAUGCGUAGAGAUCCGGAGGAACACCGGUGGCGAAGGCGGGUCUCUGGGCCGAUACUGACGCUGAGGAGCGAAAGCAUGGGUAGCGAACAGG
rnacentral:rRNA from 1 species